rnacentral:rRNA from 1 species
UGGGGAAUAUUGGACAAUGGGGGCAACCCUGAUCCAGCCAUGCCGCGUGGGUGAAGAAGGCCUUAGGGUUGUAAAGCCCUUUCGGCGGGGAAGAUGAUGACGGUACCCGCAGAAGAAGCCCCGGCUAACUCCGUGCCAGCAGCCGCGGUAAUACGGAGGGGGCGAGCGUUGUUCGGAAUUACUGGGCGUAAAGCGCGCGUAGGCGGCGCGGUCAGUCAGGCGUGAAAGCCCUGGGCUCAACCUAGGAGGUGCGUUUGAUACUGCCGUGCUGGAGUCCGGGAGGGGAUGGCGGAAUUCCCAGUGUAGAGGUGAAAUUCGUAGAUAUUGGGAAGAACACCGGUGGCGAAGGCGGCCAUCUGGACCGGCACUGACGCUGAGGCGCGAAAGCGUGGGGAGCAAACAGGAUUAGAUACCCCCGUAGUCC